AACAAAACUUUCAACUUUGCAGCGAUAUGGCAAGAGGCUUAGUCGAAGAGGCUCAUGCCCAGGUCACCAUCGGACUCCUCCUCGGGCUCUUCCUUCUUCUCUUCCUCCUUGGCAGCCGAUGGAGCAGCAGCACCACUGUCGGCGGCAACUGGGGCAGCAACAGCGAACUUGCUGGGGUCUUUCAAAUACUCCUUGAUCUUAUCAGCAUGUGGGUACGAGUAUUCGGUCUCCACAGCAACAGCAAGCACAUUCUUGUACCCAUUGAGGAACAUGUGUGGUGCAGCAGCAAUAGUUGGGUACGAGAUUGCCAGGGAGACUGAGGCAACCAUAGAAACACCAGAAGCAAACUUCUCCAUCAGGUCAUCCUCAGUGAGGUCAAGCACCUCAG
rnacentral:misc_RNA from 1 species